GUAGGGAAUCUUGCGCAAUGGGCGAAAGCCUGACGCAGCCAUGCCGCGUGAAUGAUGAAGGUCUUAGGAUUGUAAAAUUCUUUCACCGGGGACGAUAAUGACGGUACCCGGAGAAGAAGCUCCGGCUAACUUCGUGCCAGCAGCCGCGGUAAUACGAAGGGGGCUAGCGUUGCUCGGAAUUACUGGGCGUAAAGGGCGCGUAGGCGGACAGCUUAGUCAGAGGUGAAAGCCCAGGGCUCAACCUUGGAAUUGCCUUUGAUACUGGCUGUCUUGAGUUUGGGAGAGGUGAGUGGAACUCCGAGUGUAGAGGUGAAAUUCGUAGAUAUUCGGAAGAACACCAGUGGCGAAGGCGACUCACUGGCCCAAUACUGACGCUGAGGCGCGAAAGCGUGGGGAGCAAACAGGAUUAGAUACCCGAGUAGUCC
rnacentral:rRNA from 1 species